AGUUUAAUAGCUACAGGAGACGAUUGUAUCUCAGUCGGUCGUGGUUCCACCAAUGUAACCGUCGAGCGCGUGACUUGUGGCCCAGGACACGGCCUAAGUGUCGGUAGUCUUGGUAAGUACCCGAACGAGGAGAAUGUUGCCGGCAUUCACUUUAAGAAGUGCACCAUGAAAGAUACUGACAAUGGUCUUAGAAUCAAGAGUUGGGGUGGUUCGUCUCCAAGCACGGCUGUGGACAUCACGUUUGAAGAUAUUAUGAUGACAAACGUCAAGAACCCAAUCAUCAUUGACCAAAAUUACGGCUCAAGAGGCGGAGUAAGAUAUACCCGUGGAAAUUUCAAACCAAAACUUCACUUGAUCAUUCAGCAGUUUACGAAAAUAAACUUUUUGUGUGUGUUUGUAGGAUUCAAAAGUUGCGAUAAGCAAUGUGCUGUUCAAGAACGUAAGAGGAACAACAAUUACAAAAGACGAAGUUCAGAUCAUGUGCAGCAAAUCAGUACCGUGCAAAGGAGUCAGCGUCGUUGACGUGGAAUUGAACUUUGUAGGUGACAAAGGAGGACAUCCCUCGGCGUCAGGAGGUUUGGUCGGAGCUCUUUGUGACAACGCCAAUGUUAUCUUCGGUGGAAAACUUAGCUUCCCUCUGUGUCCCAAAUAAGCUUUUUGGUAAAUUUGAUGUUGAAAACAAGUAAAAAAUUUCAACAAACAUUUCGUUGUUUUGUUUGUGAGUUAGUUUGUAAGUUUAUCAACAAUAAUUGGAUUAUAUGACUUUUUGAUAUUUUUUUCUAUGACUAUAAUUUCUUUUUGUGGUAAUAAUAUAAUAAACAGACCCUUCAAUUGAUUGCUUGAAAUUUUCUGGUCAUAACUUUGGUCUGUGAUGAGUUUAGUGUAUAGUUGUAUACAACCAUUUCACAUUAAACUAUAUUUAAAAGCUCGGAUCAAAGGAACAAAAUAAAAUUAGAACAUCAGCUAUCUGUCGCCUGAAAGCUUGCUUUGUUUCUUAAAUUUAGCUUAACUUUAUUAGUAACAAGCAUAUAAAUGGUCAAGCUAACUGAGAGUAUCGUUGUCUCCAGUGUCCACCAUCUCAAGAACUUCUUCAAUGAUAUUAUUACAAGGCUGAGAACAAAAACUUUCCACCCUCUUAAAUUCAUUAAUUUGAAAACGUAUACGAAUCCUCCAUUCCCUUUUACAAACUACACCUAGAAGGCGUUGAUGUGUCCAGUCCAGUGAUUUACAUUUUUCCUAGUAUUCAAAUGAGGCCCAUGCAAUUCUAGUGAUAGGCUCUAUAGAAACAUGAUGAUCCUAUUUGGUCAAAUACCUGGCGACAAAUUCCUAUGUGCUUUGAUAACAAACAGUAUGUCUGAAGUUUGAACAAGUUCCUGGAUUCUCUUACGUACAAAUAAUUAGUUAGCUUGUUUAUAUUCUCUUCCACAUAAAAUCAACAACAAUUAGUCUGGGAAAAGUAUUUUUUUAGACCCCAACAAUUGCGUCAUGCCUUUUUAGACCCAAACAAAACAUAAGUGCGAAAUCAUUCAUAAACUGAGAUUUUUAAAACCAUUUAAACCCAAACUUGACUAUAUAACAUGAAAUUCUAUCUUGACUAACUUCAACUGUUAAACCAUGCUUAGUCGGAUAAGGAAAAAGUGUUGAUUUCAACCCGUACAAUUUUGGCCGUGCCUUUUCAGACUUGGACAAUGAAUAAGUGCGAUUUCAUACCCAAACUAAAUAGUAAUUUGAUUUUCUUAUUCAAACUUUAAUAUUAACAUAAAAAACUACUUUGACUAACUUUUGGUUAGUCAAUCGAAGUCGUUUUAACUAAACUAAUUAAAAAAACACACUAUGACUCAAACACAUGCCUAGAGAAGCACUAAACUGAGCAUUAAACCACUUGACUAAGACAAGUUUUGUAAAAUAUACAUAUAUACUAAAUUAUAUAGGUACCAAAACAGGUAAAGAAAUCACUAACUUCUUCUCUCUCUGGCUCUCUCUCUCUCAGUUGCCAAUUUCAGAAGUUUCAGUCUUUAGGAAGUUUUAUUUUUGAUAGUAAUGAACAUUUUAAAAUCGCAUGAGAAAGAAAUGUUGGGAGCCAAAAAGAGUAGCUCCGGCUACAACUCGUAGACAAGAGCGGAGAUUAGUUUCUUCAUUUAAAAAUGAAUUAGCAUGAACCGGGGCAUUACCGACUUGAUGGCAAAGUGUUCGUUUAAUUCACUUGCCUAUCGUGGGUUCGGCCCUCCAAGUGACGGAAUUUUAUUAUUUUAGCUAAAACGACGUCGUUUUAACUCUCCUCGACACGUCAUCUCUGUCUAGACACUGACUCGCUCAAAAAUAACGGUUGACUAACCAAACAUUAGUCAGAGUAAUUUUCUUUGAAAUUCAAACUAUCGUUCAGUUCGGGUAUAAAAUUCAAAAUAUUGUUCAGUUUGGGUAUGAAAUCGCACUUACUUAUUGUUCAGGUCUAAAAAGGCAUGACCAAAAUUGUACGGGUUGAAAUCGACACUUUUCCUUUAUCCGACUAAGCAUGGUUUUACGGUUGACGUAGGAUUUUAUGUUACGGAGUCAAGUUUGGGUCGAAAUAUUUUUAAAAAUCUCAGUUCAGGAAUGAUUUCGCACUUAUGUUUUGUUUGGAUAAAAAUGCACGACGCAAAUUGUUGGGGUCUAAAAUGACCCUUUUCCCCAAUUAGUCAUGCCAUCGUUUCUCUUAGACACGAAAACAAACUCAGAAGAAGUAUUCCGAGAAUCAAAUACUGUCAGAAAAAUAUUGAUAGAUUGCUGAGAAUUUUCUUGUGGAGUUUCCAAUAUCCUAGUAAAAAAAGGAAUAUGGAAAAGGGCAUAAACUUUCGAGUGCACUAGGGAAAUAAAUUGAUGUCGUGUAUAAAUAAUGCCCUUGCUUAAAUGAAUUCUCCCAAAACAUUCAUCAUGGAAAAAGAUAAGAAGAGACUCCAAUAGCAUCCACGAUCCGAAGCGUCGUGAUUCAGAUCAAUAUCUCAUCACGAAGGAAGUAAGGAAGGAGAUAGAAGAGAGGAAAAAGAGGAAAGACAGAGAGCAAAGAGAAUGGGGCUAGGGAAGGAAUCAAGAAACCUAAGUGUUGUGACGGAAGCGAUAAGAACAGACAGACGCGGAACGCACAGAUGGAUACACGCAAUAAAUGAAAAGAACACAAGAUUUAACUGGUUUACCAAUAGGUUAUUUCCACUGAUAAAGAGACACUUUUAUUAAUAAAGUAUUUACAGAAAUCUGUCUAGAAUAAGAUUGCUCUCUAUUUCAGCUGUUAAUUAAGUUUAUAAGAGGCACAAGAUAUAUAUAGUGGUAUCUUAUCUCCUAGAAACCCUAGCACUAAAGUCCAAACAGAUUCGGAUUUUGUAGAGCAUCAAAAUGCAAGAUGCACAUUUUAUGAAGUGGACAUUUCAGUGCUUUAGGUAACUCAGAUUUCCCUACAACUCUAAAGUACCGAAGACAUGUUUCUGAAGUGAGCAUUUCAGCGCUGUAGGUGAAAUGCAUAUUCAAGGCAUUACAACAAAUCUUCACCUUGACUUAAAUCUUCCAAAAACCAAUGUACCAGAAGCAUUAUCAGCAGUGCCAGAUGUACUAGACUCUCUCUUUUCUUCAGACGUUCUUUCGGAUCAGAUGUCCUAGCGGAACAGAUGAUAUGAUGAACCAGAUGCCCUUCAGGACUAGACGCUCAACUAGAGCCAGACGUUCUUCAUCAGCUAGAUGUCCUUUAGAACCAGAUGCUAUGAUGAACCAGAUGCCCUUUAGGGCCAGACGCUCAACUAGAGCCAGACGUUCUUCAUCAGCCAGAUGUCCUUUAGGACCAGAUGCCCUCUUGGGGCUAGAUUCCCACUCGGGACUAGAUUAACAGAUCGAGAUGUUUAACAAAUCCAAAAAAUGUUUGAACUUGCUGUGAGUAACCGACUUAGUGAACAUAUCGGUGGAAUUAUCAGUAGUUCCCACUUUCUUCACUUGACUCUUCUUCUCAUCUUGCAAAAAGUGAUACCUCACAUCAAUAUGCUUGGUUCUAUGAACCUGAUCCUUGGCUAGACAGAUAACACUCAAGCUAUCACAAUACACUGUAGCCUGAUCAUGAUGUAAAUCAUUUACCAGUCCUCUUAACCAUAAUCCUUCCUUAGCAGCUUAUGUCAAAGCCAUAUACUCUGCCUCAGUAGUAGACAAAGUCACUGUUGACUGCGUCGCCUUCCAACUAACCACAGAACUACCCAAAGCAAAUACGUAGCUGGUCACAUAUCAUAUGCUGUCCACAUCGCUUGCAUAAUCAGAAUCAGAAUAGCCUGCAACCAGGCCCGGAUUCCCACCUCCAUAGACGAGACCAACAUCAGAUGUACCUUUCAGGUACUGGAGAAUUCUCUUCACAGCAGUCCAGUGUUCUUUUCCUGGUUGUCGCAUAAGCCUGCUGACAACACUGACUACUUGUGCAAGAUCUGAUCUUGUACAUACCAUAUCAUACAUCAAACUUCCUACAACGUUUGCAUAAGGAACCCAUGACAUAUACUCCAUCUCCUCUUAAGACUGAGCACCAUAUAUGGUAAGAUGGCGCUCAGUGUGUUGAGGCUUCGCAGAAGAUAUCCCAAAUCUUGCCAGCACCUUAUUAAUAUAUGCUUCUUUUUAUUAAAAUAACUUCUUCUUUUCCCUAUCUCUGAAGAUCUCCAUCCCUAAGAUCUUCUUUGUUGCACCCAAAUCUUUCAUUUCAAAUUCAGAGCCCAACAACUCUACCAGCUUCAGAAUGCAUGUCACACAUGUUCUUAGUAGCUAUCAACAUGUCAUCCACAUAGAACACCCGAUAGAUGAAAGACUCAUCUUCCAACUUGCUCAUAUAGACACACCAAUCAUAAGGACUUCGGUUAUAGUCCAACUUGAUCAUAAACCUGUUGAACCUCUUGUACCACUGUCUGGGAGGUUGCUUAAGUCCAUAAAAGGACUUUUUCGACCUGCAAACUUGGUCUUCCUUUCCAGGAAUUUGGAAACCCUCUGGCUGAGCAUAUAUAUCUCUUCUUCCAACUAUAUAUGAAAGAAAGCAACUUUCACAUCAAGUUGCUCAAGCUCCAAAUCCUGACGCGCCACUAUUGCUAGCAACACUCUGAUGGAAGUAUGUCUGACCACUGGUGAGAAUAUCUCAUUGUAGUCUACUCUCUCUCUCUGACUAAAGCAUAUUUUAACAAUUCGAGCCUUAUACUUAACUCCUUCUACCGGUGUAACUCCAUCCUUGAUCUUGUAGACCCACUUACAAGUAACCACCUUUCUCUCUGAUAGUAAUGUAACCAGAUCCCAUGUAUGAUUCUUCUCAUGAGACUCCAUUUCGUCUCCUAUUGCAAUAUGCCAUUUCUCAGAUUCAGGACUAGAAACAACUUUUCUGUAAGUGGAUGGCUCAUAAGUAUCCACUUCCUCUGCAACCUGUAAUGCAUAACCCACCAUAACCUCAAAACAAUAUCUCUUUGGUGGUCUGACGUCGACCCUUCUUGGUCGAUCCUUAGCAAAGCUAAGUCUUGUAACCUCAGAUGGUUGAGCUUCCAUCUGAACAUCUCCUGCUUGCUCGUCCUGAUUUUCUGUAUGGUGCUGCAGAUCAACCACUUUAUUAUCAUUCUGCAGCUCCACCUGUUUAUCAGUGCUACCCUUAUAUGCUUCAAAACUGGACUCUGCUUGGCUUUUAAUCAUGGAACAUUGAUUAAAGAAAAUGUUACAGCUUAAAACCACUCGGUUUUCUGAUGGAGACUAUACCCUGUAUCCCUUGACUCCAUCACCGUAGCCCAUAAAUACUCCCUUCUUUGCUCUCAGCUCAAGUUUACCAUCGUUCACAUGAUAGUAAACAGUGCAACCAAAGGCUCUCAGAAUUGAGUAAUCAGCAUAUUUACCUGACCACACCUUAGAAGGUAUUUUGCACUCGAUGCCUAUGUGGGAACGAAGAUUAAUCAAGUAGCAAGUUGUAUUCACAGCUUCACCCCAAAACCAUUUCGCUAAUCCUGAAUUUGAGAGCAUGCACCUCGCUCUCUCAGCAAUAUCUGAUUCAUCCGUUCAGCUACACCAUUAUGCUGUGGUGUUUCCCUGACUGUAAGAUGCCUAGCAAUCCCUGCAUCCUUACAAAACUGAUUGAACUUCUUUCAUGUUUGAUUCUCCACCAGCGCUUUUCGUUCCUUGAACUGAUCGAAAGCUUCACUUUUGUGCUUCAUGAAGAAUAUCCAAGUCUUCCUCUAAUAGUCAUCAAUCAUAGACACAAAAUAUUGUGACCUUUCAGCAACUCCACUCUGGAGGACCCCAACAAUCCGCAUGGAUGUAAUUCAAUGUGCCUUUUUCCCUAUGAAUCGUCUUAGGAAAACUCUUCUUGUGUAGUUUCCCAAAAACACAGUGCUUAGAAAACUCUAGAUUCUUGGUUUUGUGACCACAUAGAAGAUAUUUCUUUGACAGAAUUUGCAUCCCACGUUCAUUCAUAUGCUCAAGCCUAAUAAGCCAUAGAUUAGUCGUAUCUUCUUUGCGAACCUCUGGUGAUGCAACCAUUUGCUGUACUAGUCAUAAGCCAUAGAUUAGUCGUAUCUUCUUUGCGAACCUCUAGUGAUGCAAACAUUUGCUGAACUAGUCACUGUAGAACCCUUCAACAAAUACAGAGUACCAUGCAUGAAACCCUUCAAGAUCACAUCUAAACCUCUGUAGACAUUUAGAGCUCCAUCUCCAGCUGAAUACUUGAAACCUUUACUGUCCAACAGACUCAUUGAUAUCAAGUUCUUCGUCAUUGACGAAACAUGCAUGACUUCGUUCAAUGUGAAGAAUCUACCAUCAUGUGUCUUGAGCUUGAUCGAGCCGAUCCCAACAAUCUUGCAGAUAAAAUCAUUUGUCAUCUUAAUAUUGCCGUCAGGUACCUCAACGUACUCUGCAAACAAAUCUCUCAUUCAUGCAUUCUUAGAGCAAAAAGACAUUGCUUCAGAAGUAGCUUGUUCUUUAGAGACUUUGUCAUGUACAAGCUCUCUAACUUCUACCAUAACCUAGCAGCCAAUUUCUCAUCCUAAACUUUGACAAUAAUUUCGUCUGCUAGACAAAACAAGAUUGUUGAGAACACCUUCUUUUCCAGAACUUCCAUUUCAGCAUAAUCAGUCUUCUUUCCUGACAAAGGUGUCAAGAUGCCUUGUUUCUUUAACAAAGCUUGCAUCUUUAUCUGCCAGAGAUUGAAACUUGUCGAUUUUCGCGUUUAUCCCAAACAUCUUUUCACGAGAUUACAAACCUGAGGCUCUGAUACCAGUUUGUUGCGACGGAUGCGAGAAGAGAAGAUGUGGAACACAUAGAUAGGUAAACGCAAUAAACGAAAAGAACACAAGAUUUAAUGUGCUUCACCAAUAGGCUACCUCCACGGGCAAAGAUAGAUUUUUAUUAAUGAAAUAUUUACAUAAAUCUAUCUAAAAGAAGAACUUAUGAGAUUGCUCUUUAUUUCAGCUGCUACUUAUGUUUAGAGGAAAAACAAGAUAUAUAUAAUGGUGAAGACAUGUUUUCUGAAGUGGACACUUUAGUGCCCUAGGUAACUCAGAUUUCCAUAUAACUCCAAAAUGCUGAAAAAAAGUUUUUGACGUGGACACUUCAGCGCUUUAGGUAAAAAGCAGAUUCAAAGCAUUACAACACUAAAUUUUAUGGUGGCCACGAGGAGGAGCAAGUUUGAAGAUGUGCCUAUGGAGUUUGAUAAGAACAACGCUCAAGUUAGUUAGACACGUUCUGUUUCUAAUGCAUCGGAAACUUCUAGUCAAAUUUUUGAAGCUGUUAAGCGAGCUUAGGAGCUGGCUGCUCAGAUGAAACCACAGAAAGCUGUUGCAGUGGCUCAGAAACCGAGCAAAAUCCAGAAGUGUGGAUGCACUUGGAAGAGAGAUAGAUAAACACGGUGGUUAGUGUGACUAAAUCUAGUGGUCUUACUACAUUGUGUUGGGACACAGUUUCUGAAAAGUGAGUGUUUUGACUUUUCCGGCCAAACCGGCAGUGGUCGUUAUCAGAUUAUUGGCUCAUUGUAAAGUUUGUAACGAGCACUACAAUCUGGUAUAUUCAUACAUCAAAAGCAGAGUUAAAUUAAAUGAUAAAUGAAUUGAUGAAGUUGGUAACUUGGUGUUAUCAAAACUCUGUAAUUUGCCUAGGUGUUAAUAUAACACUAAAGUCCCUACAUAGGGGAAGGCAAAACUUUCAGAGGUGUAUAAAUAUGCAUACACAUAUAAGUUUGUUCAAAAUAGUUUUCCAUUUUUUUUUUGCGGAUCACGUUUUAAUUUGAGUAAAAUCUAAAAGUAAAAAAAAAAAAAAAAUCUAAAAGUAGCACACAAACGAACCUAUAAAACAUCAUGAAUCCUCCAAUGAUCAAAUCACUUUAAAUUUGUCAACACAUUUUUAAAAGAAAAAAAAAAGAACAAAAAAAAAAAAAAUAUUACCACCAUGGCUAGCGCGAGAAGUUUGGUUGCCAAGGCAAAUAAUACUAAUGUAGGCUCAUUAAUCUUAAUGACCGUGGUGUUAGGUUCUUGUAUAGCUAAUGGUGAAUAUCUCGGUGCCCGCCGUGGCCUUGCCGCUGUUGCCGGAAACCCUACGGUCUUUGAUAUUACUAAGAAUGGAGCAGUGGGAAAUGGUGCCACCGAUUCUUCCAAGGUGAUAUUUCUUUAAUUUUAUGGAAUUAGCUUGAGUUUCGCUUCAUAAUUUAAGUUACUGUUAUUAUUAGUAAAAUACACAUGACAAGAAACAUUUAUCCAAUAAUAAAUGGUUUCUUAAAAAUAAUAAUAAUAAUAAAAAAAAUAAAAUAAAAAUAACAAAAAAUAUAAUAAAUGGUUUCUUUCUUCUAAAAAAUUUGUACGACAGGCGUUUCUAAACACAUGGCUCCAAGUGUGUGCCAGUCCUGUACCAGCAACGCUACUAGUCCCUAAAGGAGAUUUCUUGGCUGGUCCAGUAAUUUUUGCUGGUCCAUGCAAGAGCAAAGUGACCGUCGAAGUUCAGGGCACAAUCAUCGCUCCACCAAGCGGAUACCCGACUCCUGAAUGGUUCUUAUUCGAACAUGUCGAUAAUGUCGUCCUCACCGGACCCGGCACAUUCCACGGCAAAGGUGAAGCCGUUUGGAAAGCAGAUGGCUGUGGUAAAAAGGUGGACUGCAAUCUUCCUCCAACGGUAAGAUUUAAGUUAAUAAUAAUAUUAUUAACUAAUACUUUUGUACUGAUCAGACUUACACCUGCAUGCAGUCUCUAAAAUUCAGAAACAUCUUAAACCUUGACAUUUCCGGCAUUAGCUCGGUCAACGCAAAGGCCUUCCACAUGUUCUUGGUAAAAACUACAAAUGUCAACGUCCAAAACAUCAAGAUUACUGCCCCUGCUGAAAGUCCCAACACCGAUGGUAUCCAUUUGAGCAAUGCGGUCAACGUUCACAUCGUUGACAGUUUAAUAGCUACAGGAGACGAUUGUAUCUCAGUCGGUCGUGGUUCCACCAAUGUAACCGUCGAGCGCGUGACUUGUGGCCCAGGACACGGCCUAAGUGUCGGUAGUCUUGGUAAGUACCCGAACGAGGAGAAUGUUGCCGGCAUUCACUUUAAGAAGUGCACCAUGAAAGAUACUGACAAUGGUCUUAGAAUCAAGAGUUGGGGUGGUUCGUCUCCAAGCACGGCUGUGGACAUCACGUUUGAAGAUAUUAUGAUGACAAACGUCAAGAACCCAAUCAUCAUUGACCAAAAUUACGGCUCAAGAGGCGGAGUAAGAUAUACCCGUGGAAAUUUCAAACCAAAACUUCACUUGAUCAUUCAGCAGUUUACGAAAAUAAACUUUUUGUGUGUGUUUGUAGGAUUCAAAAGUUGCGAUAAGCAAUGUGCUGUUCAAGAACGUAAGAGGAACAACAAUUACAAAAGACGAAGUUCAGAUCAUGUGCAGCAAAUCAGUACCGUGCAAAGGAGUCAGCGUCGUUGACGUGGAAUUGAACUUUGUAGGUGACAAAGGAGGACAUCCCUCGGCGUCAGGAGGUUUGGUCGGAGCUCUUUGUGACAACGCCAAUGUUAUCUUCGGUGGAAAACUUAGCUUCCCUAUGUGUCCCAAAUAAGCUUUUUGGUAAAUUUGAUGUUGAAAACAAGUAAAAAAUUUCAACAAACAUUUCGUUGUUUUGUUUGUGAGUUAGUUUGUAAGUUUAUCAACAAUAAUUGGAAUGUAUUGUUGUGAAUUAGAUGAGAUAAAGAGAUAUUUAUGUGUAUUUAUAAGUGUUAAUAUAUUAGUAUAUUGUUCUUUAUGUGUUUGGAAAGUAACGAAAGAAAUGUGAGAUAAUGAGCACAAAUGACUUUGAUCUCUUGCUCUUAUUUUUAUUUUUUGAAUUAUACAGAGGUAUCCUGGUCCUACAGAAGUGAUCCAAACUAGUCACAUGUUGUCACGUGUCGGUCUUCUGUCCCUGGCAAUGCCGAAAUGUUAAUUCCCCAGUGGCCGGAAUUCGAACCCAGGUGGCGGAUCUCUUGCUCUUAUUACUAUCACUUACAACAACAAAUCAACUCCUAUUUAUAGAAGUAGUAAGUCGGUAAAGUACACCGACGUAAGAAGAAAACAAAUAUUUAUAUAGUAAGCUAAUGGAUAAUCACAAUCCAAAAUCAACCUUAUCUUUUUGGAUCAUUAUCUUUAACACUUCCUCUUGAUUAUCCAUUUUUAUAUUACGUAGUGCCUCGUUAAAAACCUAGUCAUGGAAAAACCCUUUGGGACAAAAACCAUGACAAGGGAAAAAAAGUACACUGCCGUACUCUCCCCCUGAAAAUAGUGGACCUAGUUUUCUCGUCACAGGUCACGCAAAUGCCGCAUUCCGAUACCAUAAACGUGUUUUCGGAAUGUUGUAGUUGGAAGAGCUUUGGUGAACAAGUCAGCCGGAUUUUCGCAUGACCGUACAUAUUCGAUGUCCACCUCUUUAAUUAUCUCGUGCUCCUUUAUGUACGAGAAAAAUCUUGGAGGGAUGUGCUUUGUUCUAUCACUCUUAAUGUAGCCUUCUUUAAGAUGAGCGACACACGCCGAAUUGUCUUCAAAUAUUUUCGUCGACUCUUUUUCAUUGACUAUUCCGCUUGAUUCUUGUAUGUGGUGACUCAUUGACCGAAGUCACACACAUUCUCGACAUGCUUCGUGAAGCACAAUAGUUUCUGCAUGAUUCAAAGAUGUCGCAACCAGAGUUUGUUUCUGGGACCGCCAAGCGAUCGCGGUUCCACCAAUUGUAAAAACAUAGCCAGUUUGCGAUCGAGCCUUAUGAGGAUCUGAUAAGUAUCCUGCAUCUGCAAAACCAACAAUACCAAACUCGGGUUUUCUAAAAUAUAUUAACCCUAAAUCAAAUGUACCUUGGAGAGAACGGAUAUGUUCUCGACGCCAUUCUAAUUUCCAUAAAUAGGAAAUGAGCUAUGUCUCGCAAAUACAUUAGUGUCUAAAAGUAUAUUUAAUCAAAUACAACUCGCAAGACAUAUAAGCUCACAUAUACUUUAUUACCAUUAGCAUCUCCAAAGUACUUAUUUAUAUAAGAUCUUACCGGGAUCUCUUAAAACAACAUCUCUUUUAACAUCGAAAGAUCUAUUUACCAUUGGAGUACUCAAAAGAGUCACUUUUGUCCAUAUAAAAGUGUUUCAAUAACCUAAUCGUAUAGUUUGAUUGAUACACAAAUAUUCCUUCUCCGAGAUGCUCUGUCUGGAGCCCCCAAGACAAACUUUGUCUUGCCGAGAUCUUUCAUUUCGAACUCUUCUCCUCUUUGAUUCGUAGGGGACCAAAGUGUAACAACAACUGUGUACACCAUGUAAUCUCUUUAGGAAUUCCUUUAAUUCGAUCACAAAGCCAAAUGACGAUUUCUUUAUAAAAACGCAUGGACAUAUCGCAUUAUUCACAUAUCCUUUACUCAAAAGAUAUUGACUUAAGCGAUUGUACCACAUGCGUCCGGAUUGCGUUAAUCCGUAAAUUGAUCGCUGUAACUUGACCGAACAAAUCUCCAUGGAUUUUUCUUUCAAUGCCCCUAGCAUUUUCAAUCCCUCAGGGAGUUUUAUACAUAUAUCAUUAUCCAACGGUCCAUACAAAUAUGCAGCCAAAACGUCCAUGAGAUGCAUUUCAAGAUUUUUAGACGCCAUUAGGCUCAUCAAAAAUCUAAACAUAAUUGCAUCCAUUACUGGGGAAUAUGUUUCUUCAAAAUCAAUUCCCGGUCUCUGAGAAAAACCUUGGGCAACUAAUCAGGCUUUAUAUCGUGUUACUUUUCACACGAAUACCCACUUAUACCCAAUAGGAUUUAUAUUCUCAGGCAUUAUGACUAUAAGUCCAAAAACAUUCCAAAAUGGACUUUGGAUCGGGAUCAUCCCCCUCAUACAUAGAGGUAGAUUCAUAAUCCUUAUUUAUAUAGCGCGCUUUCAUUUUAUUGUCGACAGUCUAUUUUCUCUUUGGUUUCAUCUUUUUAUUCGUACUAAUAUGAUUAAUCGAAAUCUCUUUAUCAUCAUCGAUGAUUUACCCAGGUACAUGACUGUAAUAUUAACCAUAUCAACAGUCUCUUCACUACUUUUCAUCAAGGGCGUAGUUGAUGGAAAUCUCAUACUUUUUUCUGUACCCUUCUCGUCAUCUGGAUCCAUAUCUUUAUUUGGUGCUUCUUGAACCUUUUCAUCUGUGCCUUCUUUCAAACAUUUUCAGUAUCAGAUUCUUCUGGAACCUUUCCACUUAUGCCUUUUUUCAGACAUCUUUAGGAUUGUUUAUGUCUUUAUUACAUGCACAACUGCAUGUUUACACCCGAUCAUGGGGACCAUCUUACUUGAAUUUACUUUAUCAAGUUCUUUUUUCAAGUGCGAACAUAAUUGCGAACCCUAGGCUCAUUCAUUUUGUUACCAUCAGUUUGUUCUUUAGAAACAUCAACUAUUGAUGGAACAUUUUCAGCGGGUAUAUCAUGUUGUAUCUGUGAACUUGAAUUUACUUUAUCAAGUUCUUUUUUCAAGUGCGAACAUAAUUGCUCAAUGUUCCACUCACUAGGAUUCUUUAAUUCUCCCCCUCGAGAUGAUGACACUCCAUGUCUAAAAUCUUGUACUGAAUCCCACUCUAGAACCAAUAACAUAUUCAGUUUUCCCAUUUUGGGAUGAAUUAUGUUUCAAAUCCUUUAGAGUGAGAUCUUAAUUUGGGGUCUGCUUAAAGAAAUCACAUAUAAUGAAAUUGUUUGAUGAUUCAUCACCCAUGUUGGUUUCCUUUAUUUUCUUGACAUGCUAUAUGUGAAAAACUUCUAGUUUUUCAGCAUUUCACAAUAAUGACGAUAACAUUAUUGGAGAUGGCUAUAUAUCAGUAAACUUCAGGUUUACCACUCAUCUAUAAUUUUCCCAUCUUUUUUUUGUACCACUACAAGAAAUAUGCACAUUAUUAGCACACGAUAAACGCUAUGGUAGGACUUUCAUAGCGAAACUUGAAAUGCUAUGUCAUCGGCAGCCAUCAUAGGUAUCCCUCUACGAUAACAUUUAUUUAAAUGCUAUGAAAUGUGCAGAUACGAUAAUAUUUCAGUGAUGUUAUUAACUUAAAUAUAACACUAUUUUUUUGUUACAAAUUGAUUACGAUUUAUAUAUUCGUGCUAUGAUUGAUCUUUCUGCAAUUAACAAAAAUUAAUUAUAAUUCGAAAUAGAAUAAUUUAAUAUUAAAUUGAAAUUUUUUUUAUAUUGAAAUUAAAAUAAAUUUUAUUUAUAUAUUAAAAUUGGUUUACAAAUUAAUCUUGGUUUACAAAACUAACCAGAAAUCAUAACAUAAACUCAGACCACUACAAUUUCUCUAACACGGGUUACACUAAACCAAAUCUAAACCUAAAAAAAAAAAAAACUGCAGCCGCCUCCUCCAUAUCCUUGCCCCUCUUCCAACAGCCAUGAGCCUUGCCUCCUCCAGCCGCCACGAGACUUCCGUCCUCAAGCCGCCAUGGACCUUGCCUCCUCCAGCCACCAUGAACCUUGCCUCCCCAACUAUCUUUACCAAAACAAAACAACAUCAGAUUCAUACUACAGAAACAUAGAGAAGAUGCAAAGAGAUAAAGAGAGAGAGAGAUCAACCGUGGUGGUGGUGGGAGGGCGACCGUGGUGGUGGUGGGCGGGCGAACCUGGUGGUGGUGGGAGGGCGACCCCGGUGGGGGUGAGACGAGGAGGAGACGCGGUGGGAGAGAGAUGGGAGAGAUGAGAGAGGCGUGGAGAGAGAUAGGAGAGAUGAGAGAAACAGUAAGCUUGGAGAGGGAUGGGAGAGAUGAGAAUGAAGGAGAAGAACAUGAAGGCCAGAUCUCUGUAGUGGAGUUGAGAGUGAGAGAGAGAGAGAGAAGAAGAAAAUAAAAAUAAAGAUUAAAAGGAAUAAAUCUUAACCUUUAGAUCUAAGUUAAUCUAACGGUUCAAAAGUGUGAUCCAUGUAUUUUAAUCUGAUUGGCCAGACAAUUUUGUUUCUGUUUUUCUAUUUUUAUUUUUUGUUUUGUCUUUCCAUAUUUGAUAAUUUGUUUUGUAAGUGAUUUUUAUUAGUUAUAUCUUAUUUCAAAAUUAAUAUUUUGUAGUUUAUAAUUUAAGUCUAAAUUUUUAUUUUUUUAACCUAAUAAACUGAUAUUUAAUUUAUGAAUUGAUGUUUAAGUUUGAAAAUAUUAGAUUAAUAUUAACAUUAUGAUUUUGGUCAUCAUUUUUAAAUUUGCAUGUUUAUAAAAAAUCCGAUUUACAAUUCGUUUAUAAAUUUGUAUGUUUGACUCAAAAUUUGAAAAGUUUCAAAUUUAUAUUUUAUGAUUUACAAAAAAAAAAUAUGAUUAAGAGUAAAAUUUAGUUUUAUGAUUUAAGGUGUUGAUGUUGUAAUAUGAGGUUUAGGGUUAAAAUUUAGUGUUUUGGAUUAAGAUUGGAAAAUAAUAGAUUUGAAUACUAGAAGAUUUGUAGUUAAAUAUUUAAUAAUUUAGAUUUGAAGUUUAUAUUUAGAGUAUUGAAUGUUUAGUUUACGUUUGAAGUUAAGAUUUAAGAUAUAGAAUUUGAUUAAAGAUUAAAGAUAUGUGUUUAGGAAAUUAUAGAUUAAGAUUAAAAAGAUUAAAUUUUGAUUUUAAUUUUAAGAUUUGAAGUUAUAGUAUGAAAAGAUUAGAGGUUUAAAGGUUGUCUUUAAAGUUUAGGGUUUAAAACAAUGUUUAGAGUUUAAAACAUGUUUAGAGUUUAGGGGUUCAAAGAGCUUUUCUUAGCAUUAUAAAAAUGAUAUUAUAGGUCUUUUGAUAGCAUUGUUGAAGCCACUUGAAAAAUAUUAGCGCUUAAAUCUAAUAAUUCUCUAAGUGUUGGUGGUAUCUAUAACUUUAUAUUCCCGCUCGCUUAAUUUUUAAAAUAACAUUAAUUAAGUGCUAUUUUAGGUUUCACUCUGCCAUAGCGUUUAUCUAAUGCUAUAAUAUAAUACGAAAAUAUUUAAAUCAUUUACAACAGCAGUUCAGCAAAACGUGUUAUAACAAUGUGCUAUCAAUGUAGAUUUUUUUUGUAGUGUAAUAUUUAAUAAUUUAGAUUUGAAGUUUAUAUUUAGAGUAUUGAAUAUUUAGUUUACGUUUGAAGUUACCUCUAGAGCCAAUAAUAAUUUUUAUAGUAAUAGAUAUUAUACUUACUUAUUUUGAGAGAGGAGAAAUAUUUGUUACCUUUAGUAGUCAUGUACGAUGAUCCAAUAUCUGCCAUGUAUAUCUAUCUCCAUCCUGAAUCUCAAAAUCUUAUUCCGGAAGAUAAUUCUCAUAUCACGUCGAUAUUUUAUUUUCAUUUUCUGGACCAACCAGAAAAUCUGAAUCAUCAAGAUGAGUAUUCAAGCUAUGAAAAAUGGUUCGGGCUCAUAAGAGACGAAGUUUAAUAUACUUCUUUUCUUUUUUUUCUUUUUGAUUCUCGAUACAGAUCGACUAAAUAUUUGGGAAUACAACAAAUACGUACCCAAAAUUCUUUCUUGCCGCAUCUGUAGCAAACCUUUUUUGUUUGCCUUUUAUUACCCGACCACUUUCAUUUUCGUGGAAGUUCUCAUUAUUCUCAUAGGGACGGAAUCUUCUUCCUCGUCCUCUUCCACGACCAUGAUAGCGGUUUCAACCGCAUCUACACCCUCGUCCUUUUCUAAUAGGACCGACUUGAUGGUUUAGUAUAUGAUUUCUAUUUUUUUUUUCAUGGAGGAUUUAAAUCAACUCCAACUAUUUAGUGAAUCCUUUCUUUCAAGGAUUUGAUUAUCAAAUAUCUUCUAAAUCUUUUCUCAUGAUACACCUCAUCUUAUAAACCAUCAUCAAAGUGAUGUAAAAUAUCAUCGCUUUUCUUUUUCUCAUCCGAUAUAGUUUUAACUUAUCGAUGAUUUUUCAAAGCUCAUUUUCUCUCAGGUGUAUCUCUACACCUACUGCCCAGAUCAUAUAAAAAGGCAUUUACUUCGAGCUUUGUCAAAUUUGACAUGAUAACCGUUCUUAUAAAAAAAUAAUAUAAAAUAUAAAGACCGAAAUUUAAAUGCAUAAUUUAAAAGCAUAAAUUAUAUGCAUAAAUUAAAUUGCAGAAAUUUAAAGAGCAAUAAAUAAAAUUGGAGGCUUAGCCUACCACAUAAUCCGAGGAGUCAUAGACUACCAUAUUGAUCAAUAUUUUUCGAAGUCCGAAGAGACAUGGUCUACCAUUUUGACUUUUACUUUUUGUUUUCAAGAUCAGAGGAGAUAAAGUCUACCAUUUUGAUAUUUUCUUAUUUCAAGGUCCGAGGAGACUUAAUCUACCAUUUUUGACAUUUUCUUUUUAUUUACGGAAGCAAAGCCUUCCACGUAACCCUUUUUUUUCAAUUCAUGGAGGCAAAGCCUACCAUGGUUUCCCUGAUCGUGAAGGUAUAGCCUACCAUAACGAUCAGUCGGGGAAACCAACGCCUAUCAUCCCGAAAAAUAAACUGAGAAGACCUAGUCUCUCACUCUGGAACAAUAAUAAAAUUUAAAUGAAUUAAAUAUAUUGAAACACAUAAAUUUAAACAUUACCUCGGCUGGUUUAAGAUCUUUCGGAUUGAUAAACCUCGGUUGUUCAGAGCUUCGUGCUGAUAACGUGUUGUGAAUUAGAUGAGAUAAGGAAAUAUUUAUGUUUAUUUAUAAGUGUUAAUAUAUUAGUAUAUUGUUCUUUAUGUGUUUGGAAAGUAACAAAAGAAAUGUGAGAUAAUGAACACAAAUGACUUUGAUCUCUUGCUCUUAUUACUAUCACUUACAACAACAAAUGAACUCCUAUUUAUAGGAGUAGUAAGUCGGUAAAGUACACCGACGUAAGAAGAACACAAAUAUUUAUAUAGUAAGCUAAUGGGUAAUCACAAUCCAAAAUCAAUCUUAUCUUUUUGGAUCAUUAUCUUUAACAUAUAUGACUUUUUGAUAUUUUUUUUCUUUGUUUAUAAUUUUUCUAUUUUUUUGGGGGGUGGGGGGGUAAUGAUAUAAUAAACAGACCCUUCAAUUGAUUGCUUGACAAUUUUCUGGUCAUAACUUUGGUCUGUGAGUUUAGUGUAUACAACCAUUUCACAUUAAAACUACUCUAUUUAAAAGCACGGAUCAAAGGAACGACAUAAAAUUAAAACAUCAGCUAUAUGUAGCCUGAAAGCUUUCUUUGUUUCUUAAACUUAGCUUAACUUAAUUAGUAACAAGCAUAUAAAUGGUCAAGCUAACUGAGAGUAUCGAUGUUUCCACUGUCCACCAUCUCAAAAACUUCUCCAACGAUAUUAUUACAAGGCUGAGAACAAAAAUUUCCACCCUCUUACAUUCAUUUUGCAACUUAUAUGAAUCACCCAUUCCCUUUUACAAAGUACACCUAGAAAGCGUUGAUGUGUCCAGUCGUGUCCAUGUGCAUCUUUCAGAAUAUAGCUUUGAACUCCAUCACCAUAUAAUUACCCAUGCUAAAUCGAUCGAAGGUUCAACAUCAACGCCUAAACUUACGUUUUAAGAAAUUUCGAAACACCACAAAAGAACCCAUGCUAAAUCGCUCGAAACUUCAACACCACCGCCUAAAGUGAAGUUUUGAGGAACUUCGAGUCACCACAAAAUAACCAGCUGUUGUUUCCUUUUGUGUUUCAACUUUUCAAUCGAUAUAUAUUUACCGAGGAUUCAUGAGACUCAUUCUUUUUUUUGUUAACACUGGAUUUUUAUUGAAUUUGGAGAAACAUACCUGCAAAUUACAAACAAAAGAUAAGACAAUGAUAAGCAUAAAUGAUCACAAUGAUCUUACCUAUCCCCUAUUCUAGGCCGGAAAACCUGAGAAACAAUGAAAAUUGCCCUGUCCAAAGUUGAAUUUACUUCACACUGUUGCUCUACUUUUAUCCACACUAGCAGCUGGAGAAGAGCGCAGCUUGUAAUGAAGGAAACUCGUGGCCAGAAACACGUCGUGAUCCCGAAAAGAUUAGUCUUCUCUUUUGACAUUGACACCAAUCUAUAAGAUAAGAAAAUUGUUGAACCCAACACCACAGACCCGAUGUCCGAAGAUGUUCCUGGGAUGGCACAACAAUUGACAUGUCCACGUACGCGAAGGGUACUUCAGCUUUGAAUGACCAACCAAACUGAAAUACUCAUUCCGUGACUCGUUCUUGAAAACCAUGAAGCGAUUCAUAACUUUUAGUAAUAUGAAAACAAACGGCGAAGAACGUUGAAACAAUCAAUUUGAUAUGGAUGUCAUGUCUCCCUUAUCUUUGAUUCCAAGAACCACACACACAGAGCAAUUGGCAGAUGGGACUUCGCUGCCACUCUAAUACCUGCAAAAGAGAAACAAAAGAGUUUCUCCCAUCAGCGAGAAGGACCACAGCCUGAUCGAUGAUGCUGGGAUGGCUCCACCCUUAAAAUGCGCCACCACUAGAUAGAUCCGACACUUAAUGACCAAAAGAGUCGGUGACUUUUUACGAGAUUCGUCAACGGAGAACCGAAGAAACGAAGCUUCUCUUAUUUGCCAAAUCCACAGCCGAGUGAUGAUUCGGAUGUGUACAAAUCUACAAGGCCCUUGAAGCAAGUACUAGUGACAGGUCCAAACCAACCAAAGAGACUCUCUACAAAGACGGGAUGGGUCUACAAACUCCAAAACCAAACACCAAAUCCAGUGAAAACCUAGAAAAAAGAUCUGAAGCCGCAGAUGCCUUCAUGCAUGUCUCGUCGUUACUCCAUUACCUCUCGAACGCCUCCUAUACACCGAACAAAGACGUCAUCGUCGAGACAGCAGAGCAAGCAAACAUAUUGACAGGGGAAGGAGAAGAGGCUUGAGAGAUAAAAAAAAAAAGGAAAGCACAAAAUUUAAGAGAGAGGGGCCACCGGCACCGGGCACCGGCACGACGGCCGGAUACCGGUGAAGGAUUGAGAUUAGGUUGACUGCAAGGAGGAGGCGGCUAGGGUGGCCAGUAUGCAAGGAGACUCAUUCUUUGUGUAUGGCAUUGUUGGAAUAAUGGCCAUAUUAGAAGAGAUCGAAUAAUACAGAUCUCAAUUGCUGGAGAAGAUAAUUAAAAAUCAUUUAUUGGUGAUUCCCAUUAUUAUAGAAUUAAUCAUAGUUGAAGAAAUUAUGGAGUAUCUCCUUUAUCCUUGAAUCAGUAUUGAGAAUUCUAAUGCAAAAUCUUAGCAAGAAAUAGCUUAAGAGAAAAUCUAAGUAAUGCAUACACAUGAACUCAGUGAUCAAAAAGAACAAAGUAACACUGAAGAACAUCAAGGUACACAAUAUGUGUUCUCAGAAAAGAACAACAGAAAAAUGCAAAAACAUAAAAGAAUCACUAAAUAGCAUUGAGCAUCGAAGGUGGGUGACCUACAAAGAAAAGAAGCUUUCGAUGUGAUUUGGGAAAACAUGCAUGGUGAACGUGUCGUUGCUAGCAAGUCCACAGCGGCGUCCAAAGUCAUCCAAAUUCUUUCAAAGAAUACUUUUGUAGUACUGUUUCUCCUCGGAUCAAAAAAUAGAAUAUAAGAAGCUUGAUAGAAACCAUACGGAGCAAAAAUAAACUCACCAGCAUCUGUAGUACCGCUGAAAUAUAUAGAAUCCCUCCGUACACGAAGAACAAAGCGUUUCCAUUCGUGUCCAUGUGCGUCUUCCAAAAUAUAGAGUUUAACAACAUCAAAGGGAUGAUCAUGAGUAACUAAGGCUACCCUUCCCUCAUAAGGUAUAAAAAAAAGGGGCCUAAAUGGACCCUUAUCCGGAAACUUUAUAGGAUUGAAGUUCAGAUUUCGCAUCAAAGCUCAUUAUGAUAUCUUGAUCAUCACCAAGAAGACGAGCUUCAUAAUAUAUAAAUCCAUUGAAGCAUCGCCCACGUGUUCCAGUUGGGCGAUGGACAGGGCAACGUCCUUUGGUUAUAUGUCUCCAUGAUUCUUGAAUACCCAAUGUAAGAACCCGCGACUGAUCGUUAUAUUCUUCAGAUGGUACACAAAGUACUUUGUGUUUACCUUCAGUGGAUCGUAUCCUAAUAAGUAAGACCAAUCGUUUGGACUCGAGCUGUGUUUACCAAGAUGUGGUAAGGCUAAAAACCGUCUCAAGGUUGGGUUCCAAAUCUUGAAUGCAGAUGUUAAAAUCAAUCCCUGGAUGCUCGUGGAUCGCCAAUAUUGCCAAUCUAAGUUUGUUAUUUCAUAACUGUAUAAUGGAGAAUAAGUUGACCUGUCAGGAAUCUGAUGUGAAGGAAAGAAUAAUACAUAUUUUGCGGAAUCUGAUGAGAAGGUCACCAUAAGAGUCGGUGAUCGUGAAGUGGACCGAGUCGAGAAUGUGCUGAUAAAACUAGGUAAGUGUUAUAGAAGAAGACCACAGCUUUGAAAGACAUCGAUAUCUCAUGAUUGAUUUUGCAGGAAGCCUUGAGAGUAUCUCCAAGGCUAGAUCAAGAGGAAUAUGGUUUGGUUGUGAUCUUUCAUCUCUGGAUCUCUCUCGUCUUCUCCUCUUGUUCAUCCAUGGCUGAUUGCUCAACAAUACUUUCUUCUUAAAAAUCCUCAUUCUUAAUUUCCUCCAGUUAUAUUCCCUCUUUAGGGUUCCAUAUAUAUACGCUUAAUAUAAAUUAUACAUCGUAUUUGUAUUUAAAUAAAUUAUAUAAAGCUUGGUUGCUAAUUAAUUUUCUCUCUUAAAAAAUGUAAAACCAAAAAAAUAUUUACUAAUUAACAUGAUUGGAACAUACGACGAUAAAAAUUCAAAAUUAUGACAUAUGUUAAAAAAAUCUCUAAACUAUAUAAUAAUAUAAUAGUAAUUUACCUUUUAAAACAUCCUAAACCAAAAAUUAAGAUUUGAUUCCUUAUAAAUAAUAGUCAGUUUAAUUAUAUUUUAUCUUUGACUGAACGUUAAUGUUAAUUAUAUUGCAAAAAUUACUUAAUUUUUUUUUAAGAAUACAGAUCAAUUUAUAUUGCAUGCUUAUUCGCUUAGGAACUGCACCAUGAAAGAUACCGACAAUGGUCUUAGAAUCAAGAGUUGGGGUGGUUCGUCUCCAAGCACGGCUGUGGUCCUGUGGACAUCACCUAUGAAGAUAUUAUGAUGACAAACGUCAAUAACCCAAUCAUCAUUGACCAAAAAUACGACUCAAGAGUCGGAGUAAGUAUAUAUACCAGAGAAAAUCUCAAACCAAAAUAGAGAUUUAGUAUAAUUACUGUUCUUCCGCUAGUUAUCUUCUUCGUUCUUCUGUAAAAACUUAAAAAUUUGGUAUAAUAAAUUUAACAUUUUACCAAAAAAAAAAAAAAAUCUCAAACCAAAAUCGGCGUCAAGAGGUUUCAUCGGAGAUCUUUGUGACAACGCAAAUGUUGUCUUCGUAUAUUUUGUUUCUAACUGUUAUUUUAGUAUCAUAUUUCGACUGAUAUAAAUUAAUAAUUUAAAUAAAAGAAUAAUAUAUUUGAUUUAGUAUAAAAAUUUUGAACAUAAAUAUUUAAAAUGGAUAAAACUAAAACUUAAACAAAAAGUAAAUAUGUGCUUUCAUAAUAUCAAGAACAUGUUUAUUAUUUUGUAUUUGGUAUCAACUCUCAUAUUUAGUCUAAUUUGGAUAUAAACCUAAAUCUUUCAAAAUAAAAGAAUAUCACUAUUAACUUGUGUGUAUACUUCUUUUUGAAGGUUUGUAGUUCGAAUAUAUCACUUUGAUUUAUAAAUUUCAUCCCAUAUAUUGUGUAAUAUUUCUAUAUUUACUAUAAAAAAGCUCGUGUAUCUCUCACAAAAAUUAUUUUGUUAUGACUUGUCAAUGCCACACUCUCUCUUGCUCUAUUUCCGCAACCUCUUAUCUUCAAUAUCUUUGUCGUGGAAACUUUGAUUAUUUACAUUAUAUUAGUUUGCACAUUUCAUUAUAUCUUCCAUAUUUCACUGUAACUUGUAAUAUGGAAAAUAUGCAAACUGAUAUAAUGUAAAUAAUUAAAGUUUUUAUCUAAAGGAAAUCAAUAUCUAAAUAUUUAUUUUUGUAACUUGAUAUAUAUACAACUAUUUUAGAUAGAAUAGACAAACUUGAAAUAAUUUAGAAUUGCUGUAAAGUUGUUCUCUAUCUUGUAUAUUUAACAAAUUCACUUUUUAUUUGUUAUAUAAAAUCAAUUCAUAUAUUUUAAAGUUGUUAUUUAUUUAUUAUAUUUAAUUUAUAUAUAAAUGUUUUAUAACGGUUUAAAAGGUAAAGAUUGAUAAAAGAACACUUAUUAUUUUCUUUUCUAUAGCACAAAACUGUUUUUUAAAAGAUAAGGGUUUCGUCUCUCUUGAUUAUAAUUGCAUAAUGUGUUGUGAAUUUGUGCUGAGAGUUUUCAUACUGUUUUGAAUGCGAAGAUUUUAACAUGGCAAAUCAAAAUUCAGAAUUAAAAAGCUACAAAAACUUCUAAUAGCUUCCUUUUGUUAUUUCCGUAGAGUAUAAAAAUGAUAAUUCUUAUCCAACACGUUUAGCUGACUAAUAUAAACAAAUACCCAGAGUCAAGCUUUUAGGCUGCAAACAUUUCCUCUGUACUUCAAGUGAGACACGACCACACUUGUGAUGGUCAGAAAACGACAACUGAACAUCCCACUGGAUGAGACCAAUCAUCGAAACAAAAGAUCUAACGUUGGAAAGUGUGGCUUGUGCUUGGUGAUAUCAAACUGAGUUAUGCCAAAAGCAUCCUUGAUGUUAAUAUCGAUCAAUUUCACAGCAUAUAAACAAACUCCAAAGUAACAUUCCCCGGGAUUGCCAAGUGAUAGGCCGUCUGUUCCUUCAUGUUUCUAUAGUUCACAACAUCUCCGGAGGACUUCGAGGCGGCAUAUGUGAUAGGAAAGUUCGUGAUCUCAAUUUAAAGAUUAGUCUUCUCUUUUGACAUUGACACCAAUCUGCUAAGAUAAGAAAAUUGUUGAACCCAACACCACAGACCCGAUGUCCGAAGAUGUUCCUGGGAUGGCACAACAAUUGACAUGUCCACACGAAGGGUACUUCAGCUUUUAAUGACCAACCAAACUGAAAUACUCAUUCCAUGACUCGUUCUUGAAAACCAAGAAGCGAUUCUUAACUUUCAGUGAUAUGAAAACAAACGGCGAAGAACUUUGAAACAAUCAAUUUGAUAUGGAUGUCAUGUCUCCCUUAUCUUUGAUUCCAAGAACCACACACACAGAGUAAUUGUCAUAUGGGACUUCGCUGCCACUCUAAUACCUGAAAAAGAGAAACAAAAGAGUUUCGUCCAUCAGCGAGAAGGACCACAGCCUGAUCGAUGAUGCUGGGAUGGCUCCACCCUUAAAACGCGCCACCACUAAAUAGAUCUCCGACACUAAUGACCAAAAGAGCUGGUGACUUUUUACGGGAUUCGUCAACGAGAACCAAAGAAACGAAACUUCUCUUAUUUACCAAAUCCACAGCCGAGUGAUGAUUUACAAAUCUACAAGGCCCUUGAAGCAAGUACUAGUGACAGAUCCAAACCAACCAAAGAGACUCUCUACAAAGACGGGAUGGGUCUACAAACUACAAACUCCAAAACCAAACACCAAAUCCAGUGAAAACCUAGAAAAAAGAUCUGAAGCCGCUGAUGCCUUCAUGCAUGUCUCGUCGUUACUCCAUUACCUCUCGAACGCCUCCUAUACACGGAACAAAGACGUCAUCGUCGAGACAGCAGAGCAAGCAAACAUAUUGACAGGGGAAGGAGAAGAGGCUUGAGAGAUAAACAAAAGCAAAGAACAAAAUUUAAGAGAGAGGGGCCAGUAUGCAAGGAGACUCAUUCUUUGUGUAUGGCAUUGUUGGAAUAAUGGCCAUAUUAGAAGAGAUCGAAUAAUACAGAUCUCAAUUGCUGGAGAAGAUAAUUAAAAAUCAUUUAUUGGUGAUUCCCAUUAUUAUAGAAUUAAUCAUAGUUGAAGAAAUUAUGGAGUAUCUCCUUUAUCCUUGAAUCAGUAUUGAGAAUUCUAAUGCAAAAUCUUAGCAAGAAAUAGCUUAAGAGAAAAUCUAAGUAAUGCAUACACAUGAACUCAGUGAUCAAAAAGAACAAAGUAACACUGAAGAACAUCAAGGUACACAAUAUGUGUUCUCAGAAAAGAACAACAGAAAAAUGCAAAAACAUAAAAGAAUCACUAAAUAGCAUUGAGCAUCGAAGGUGGGUGACCUACAAAGAAAAGAAGCUUUCGAUGUGAUUUGGGAAAACAUGCAUGGUGAACGUGUCGUUGCUAGCAAGUCCACAGCGGCGUCCAAAGUCAUCCAAAUUCUUUCAAAGAAUACUUUUGUAGUACUGUUUCUCCUCGGAUCAAAAAAUAGAAUAUAAGAAGCUUGAUAGAAACCAUACGGAGCAAAAAUAAACUCACCAGCAUCUGUAGUACCGCUGAAAUAUAUAGAAUCCCUCCGUACACGAAGAACAAAGCGUUUCCAUUCGUGUCCAUGUGCGUCUUCCAAAAUAUAGAGUUUAACAACAUCAAAGGGAUGAUCAUGAGUAACUAAGGCUACCCUUCCCUCAUAAGGUAUAAAAAAAAGGGGCCUAAAUGGACCCUUAUCCGGAAACUUUAUAGGAUUGAAGUUCAGAUUUCGCAUCAAAGCUCAUUAUGAUAUCUUGAUCAUCACCAAGAAGACGAGCUUCAUAAUAUAUAAAUCCAUUGAAGCAUCGGCCACGUGUUCCAGUUGGGCGAUGGACAGGGCAACGUCCUUUGGUUAUAUGUCUCCAUGAUUCUUGAAUACCCAAUGUAAGAACCCGCGACUGAUCGUUAUAUUCUUCAGAUGGUACACAAAGUACUUUGUGUUUACCUUCAGUGGAUCGUAUCCUAAUAAGUAAGACCAAUCGUUUGGACUCGAGCUGUGUUUACCAAGAUGUGGUAAGGCUAAAAACCGUCUCAAGGUUGGGUUCCAAAUCUUGAAUGCAGAUGUUAAAAUCAAUCCCUGGAUGCUCGUGGAUCGCCAAUAUUGCCAAUCUAAGUUUGUUAUUUCAUAACUGUAUAAUGGAGAAUAAGUUGACCUGUCAGGAAUCUGAUGUGAAGGAAAGAAUAAUACAUAUUUUGCGGAAUCUGAUGAGAAGGUCACCAUAAGAGUCGGUGAUCGUGAAGUGGACCGAGUCGAGAAUGUGCUGAUAAAACUAGGUAAGUGUUAUAGAAGAAGACCACAGCUUUGAAAGACAUCGAUAUCUCAUGAUUGAUUUUGCAGGAAGCCUUGAGAGUAUCUCCAAGGCUAGAUCAAGAGGAAUAUGGUUUGGUUGUGAUCUUUCAUCUCUGGAUCUCUCUCGUCUUCUCCUCUUGUUCAUCCAUGGCUGAUUGCUCAACAAUACUUUCUUCUUAAAAAUCCUCAUUCUUAAUUUCCUCCAGUUAUAUUCCCUCUUUAGGGUUCCAUAUAUAUACGCUUAAUAUAAAUUAUACAUCGUAUUUGUAUUUAAAUAAAUUAUAUAAAGCUUGGUUGCUAAUUAAUUUUCUCUCUUAAAAAAUGUAAAACCAAAAAAAUAUUUACUAAUUAACAUGAUUGGAACAUACGACGAUAAAAAUUCAAAAUUAUGACAUAUGUUAAAAAAAUCUCUAAACUAUAUAAUAAUAUAAUAGUAAUUUACCUUUUAAAACAUCCUAAACCAAAAAUUAAGAUUUGAUUCCUUAUAAAUAAUAGUCAGUUUAAUUAUAUUUUAUCUUUGACUGAACGUUAAUGUUAAUUAUAUUGCAAAAAUUACUUAAUUUUUUUUUAAGAAUACAGAUCAAUUUAUAUUGCAUGCUUAUUCGCUUAGGAACUGCACCAUGAAAGAUACCGACAAUGGUCUUAGAAUCAAGAGUUGGGGUGGUUCGUCUCCAAGCACGGCUGUGGUCCUGUGGACAUCACCUAUGAAGAUAUUAUGAUGACAAACGUCAAUAACCCAAUCAUCAUUGACCAAAAAUACGACUCA
rnacentral:lncRNA from 1 species